ACCUGCGGGGGACGACAGGGAAGGGCUGGUGAGCGGAAGGCAGGCAGAGCAUCCCCCCGACUGCUUCACUCAGAGCUCUGCUGCCUCUGGGGACGCUGAUCCGCGUUUUGCCAAGAGGAUCCAAAAAGUCAGAGACGGGGUCUUGCAAUGUUGCCCAGGCUGGUCUCAAACUCCAGGCUUCAAGUGAUCCUCCUGCCUCAGCCUCCUAAAGCGUUGGGAUUACAGAUGUGAGCCACUGCACCUGGCCAAUAUUUUGCUCUUAAUAAAAUAAAACAAAAAUUUCACUCUAUCUAAUGGGCUACGGCUGGGCUUCUCUUUCUGAUAGGAGGUUCCAGAGCUGAGCUGUACUCCCGAAUAUCACAGCCACGAGCCACGUAUGGCUGCUGAGCACUUAAAAUGGCAUUAGCCCAAAUUCAACCAGUCUGCAGGUGAAAACACACAACCUAUCUGAAGGCUGAAUAUGAAAAAAAAGCAGGUAGAAUAUCUCAAUAAUUUUUAUAUUGAUUACAUGUCGAAAUGAUUAAUAGUUUGGCUAUACUGAGUUAAACAAAAUACAUUAUUAAAAUUAAUUUUACUUUUA